CCUACGGGAGGCAGCAGUGGGGGAUAUUGCACAAUGGGGGGAACCCUGAUGCAGCGACGCCGCGUGGGUGAAGAAGCGCCUCGGCGCGUAAAGCCCUGUCAGCAGGGAAGAAAAUGACGGUACCUGAAGAAGAAGCCCCGGCUAACUACGUGCCAGCAGCCGCGGUAAUACGUAGGGGGCAAGCGUUAGCCGGAUUUACUGGGGGGAAAGGGGGCGCAGACGGCGUUGCAAGCAAGGAGUGAAAGCCCGGGGCCCAACCCCGGGACUGCUCUUGGAACUGCGUGGCUGGAGUGUCGGAGGGGCAGGCGGAAUUCCUGGUGUAGCGGUGAAAUGCGUAGAUAUCAGGAGGAACACCGGUGGCGAAGGCGGCCUGCUGGACUGCAACUGACGUUGAGGCCCGAAAGCGUGGGGAGCAAACAGGAUUAGAUACCCUUGUAGUC
rnacentral:rRNA from 1 species